rnacentral:rRNA from 1 species
UCCGUAGGUGAACCUGCGGAGGGAUCAUUACCGAGCCGAGGGUGUAGCCCAGCGUAAAAAACUGGGCUGCACUCCUUCGGGAUUCAUCCUUUUGUUGUUAUAAUCCACGUUUCUUUCCCGGGUUAGGGGAGGCUGCAAAGCUUCUACCCCCGGGGGAGUACAAACAUCUCCUGUUUUUUAUUAUCGUCUGAAACAACUUUUUAAAUUAAAAUAAAACUACCAACAACGGAUCUCUUGGUUCUGGCAUCGAUGAAGAACGCAGCGAAAUGCGAUACGUAAUGCGAAUUGCAGAAUUUUGUGAGUCAUCGAAUUUUUGAACGCACAUUGCGCCCUCUGGUAUUCCGGGGGGCAUAUCUGUUCGAGUGUCAUUAGACACCAAUCAAGCGAUUCAUUUCUGCUUGGUCAUGGAGGAUGUGGUCACACGCACCUCUUAAAUAUAUGUCGUACUGUCUUCAGUGGUUCCGUCUACUUCAGAUACGGUGUGGUCAAACAUGUCGUAAUUGAAAGGGAUUGUAGAAGUCGGGGCGUUAAUGGUCGCGAGACCUCAACUACAACUCUGGCGCAUUGCUAGGUUGACCUCGGAUCAGAU